rnacentral:rRNA from 1 species
UACGGAGGAUGCGAGCGUUAUCCGGAUUUAUUGGGUUUAAAGGGUGCGCAGGCGGUCUGUUAAGUCAGCGGUCAAAGCCCGGGGCUCAACCCCGGCCCGCCGUUGAAACUGGCAGUCUCGAGUUGGAGAGAGGUAUGCGGAAUGCGCGGUGUAGCGGUGAAAUGCAUAGAUAUCGCGCAGAACUCCGAUUGCGAAGGCAGCAUGCCGGCUCCACACUGACGCUGAGGCACGAAAGCGUGGGUAUCGAACAGG